UUUGUUUUUAUUUUUUAAUGGAAAAACUUCAAAAAACCCCCUUGUGGUUUCACUUUUUUUCACUUUAGUACCCUGUGGUUUAAAAUGUAUCAAGUUAGUACCCUGUGGUUUAUCACUUUAUCACUUUAGUACCCUAUGAUUUAAAGUGUAUCAAGUUAGUACCUUGUGGUUUUGCACUUUAUUACUUCAGUACCCUGUGGUUUCGCACUUUAUCACUUUAGCAUCCUGUGGGUUUAAAAAUCACAUGGUACUAACUUGAUACAAAAUUAAAACCACAGGGUACUGAAGUGAUAAAGUGCAAAACCACAGGGUACUAACUUGAUAUACUUUAAACCACAUGGUACUAACUUGAUACACUUUAAAUCACAGGGUACUAAAGUGAUAAAGUGAUAAACCACAGGGUACUAACUUGAUAUACUUUAAACCACAGAGUACUAAAGUGAUAAAGUAUGAAACCACAGAGGGGAUUUUUGAAGUUUUCCCUUUUUUAAAACGUUUUUUU
rnacentral:lncRNA from 1 species